GGCUAUUAUGAAAAUAUUUAUAGUCUAGCCUGCUCACUGAUAAUUAAUAUUAAAUAGCCGCGGUAUCUUGACCGUGCAAAGGUAGCAUAAUCAUUAGUUUUUUAAUUGAAAACUCGUAUGAAUGGUUGGACAAAGAAGAGACUGUCUCUUUUAUUAAAAUUGAACUUAACCUCUAAGUGAAAAGGCUUAGAUUUACUAGAGGGACGAUAAGACCCUAUAAAGCUUUAUAAAUUUAGAGAUCUUAUAAAUAUUUAAGUAACAAUAAUUUUUUAAAUGUUUAUUCGGUUGGGGCGACAAGAGUAUAACGAAAAUAACUGCUUUAAAUUAAGACAGAAAUAUCUGAAUCAUAGUUAAUUGAUCCUUUUUAAAGAUUCUAAGAUCAAGUUACUUUAGGGAUAACAGCGUUAUUUUUCCUGAGAGUCCUUAUCAAAGGAAAAGUUUGCGACCUCGAUGUUGAAUUAGAAUAUCUAUAUAGUGCAGCAGUUAUAUAAGAAGGUCUGUUCGACCUUUAAUAUUUUACAUGAUUUGAGUUCAGACCGGCGAGAG
rnacentral:rRNA from 1 species